rnacentral:rRNA from 1 species
UACGGAGGGUGCGAGCGUUAAUCGGAAUGACUGGGCGUAAAGGGCAUGUAGGCGGUUGGUUAAGUCAGAUGUGAAAUACCCGAGCUCAACUUGGGAACGGCAUUUGAAACUGGCGAGCUAGAGUUUUGUAGAGGGGGGUAGAAUUCCAGGUGUAGCGGUGAAAUGCGUAGAGAUCUGGAGGAAUACCAGUGGCGAAGGCGGCCCCCUGGACAAAGACUGACGCUGAGGUGCGAAAGCGUGGGGAGCAAACAGG